rnacentral:misc_RNA from 1 species
AGCAGCCGCGGUAAUUCCAGCUCCAAUAGCGUAUAUUAAAGUUGUUGCAGUUAAAAAGCUCGUAGUUGAAUUUUGGAUUCUUCCAAUUGGUCCAUCUUUUAGAUGAGUACUGGUUGUGUGGGGUCUAUCCGCCUGGUGAUACGUAAUGUCCUUUAUUGGAUGUUGCGGGUAGUCAGGACCUUUACCUUGAAAAAAUUAGAGUGUUUAAAGCAGGCUUAUGCCGGAAUACAUUAGCAUGGAAUAAUAGAAUAGGACGAAGUUGUUUUAUUUUGUUGGUUUCUGGGACAACCGUAAUGAUUAAUAGGGAUAGUUGGGGGCAUUAGUAUUCAAUUGUCAGAGGUGAAAUUCUUGGAUUUAUUGAAGACUAACUACUGCGAAAGCAUUUGCCAAGGAUGUUUUCAUUAAUCAAGAACGAAAGUUAGGGGAUCGAAGACGAUCAGAUACCGUCGUAGUCUUAACCAUAAACUAUGCCGACUAGGGAUCGGGCGAUGUUGUUUCCAUGACUCGCUCGGCACCUUAU